GAGAGGCUGGCAGUGCGAGAAGGAGUCGGCCAUCGCUUUCUCAAGGUGAAACGGCUACAGAUACUUGACCAUUUCCCAUCAUCACUUCAGUGAAGACACAAGAAUCCAUUAUUAAUUGGUGAUAGAAGCUUGCUGGUGGACCACCACACCUUCCGCCCACCUCCGACGCCAAGGCAUGACGAACUGGCACAUUUACUUAAAC
rnacentral:lncRNA from 1 species